CCUACGGGAGGCAGCAGUCGAGAAUCAUUCACAAUGGGGGAAACCCUGAUGGUGCGACGCCGCGUGGGGGAAUGAAGGUCUUCGGAUUGUAAACCCCUGUCAUGUGGGAGCAAAUUGAAAAGAUAGUACCACAAGAGGAAGAGACGGCUAACUCUGUGCCAGCAGCCGCGGUAAUACAGAGGUCUCAAGCGUUGUUCGGAAUCACUGGGCGUAAAGCGUGCGUAGGCUGUUUCGUAAGUCGUGUGUGAAAGGCGCGGGCUCAACCCGCGGACGGCACAUGAUACUGCGAGACUAGAGUAAGGGAGGGGGAACCGGAAUUCUCGGUGUAGCAGUGAAAUGCGUAGAUAUCGAGAGGAACACUCGUGGCGAAGGCGGGUUCCUGGACAUUAACUGACGCUGAGGCACGAAGGCCAGGGGAGCGAAAGGGAUUAGAUACCCCUGUAGUC
rnacentral:rRNA from 1 species